UAACGCGAAGAACCUUACCAGGUCUUGACAUACUAUGCAAAUCUAAGAGAUUAGACGUUCCCUUCGGGGACAUGGAUACAGGUGGUGCAUGGUUGUCGUCAGCUCGUGUCGUGCGAUGUUGGGUUAAGUCCCGCAACGAGCGCAACCCUUAUUAUCAGUUGCCAGCAUUAAGUUGGGCACUCUGGUGAGACUGCCGGUGACAAACCGGAGGAAGGUGGGGAUGACGUCAAAUCAUCAUGCCCCUUAUGACCUGGGCUACACACGUGCUACAAUGGAUGGUACAACGAGUUGCGAACUCGCGAGAGUAAGCUAAUCUCUUAAAGCCAUUCUCAGUUCGGAUUGUAGGCUGCAACUCGCCUACAUGAAGUCGGAAUCGCUAGUAAUCGCGGAUCAGC
rnacentral:rRNA from 1 species